AAAUUGAAGAGUUUGAUCAUGGCUCAGAUUGAACGCUGGCGGCAGGCCUAACACAUGCAAGUCGAACGGUAACAGGAAACAGCUUGCUGUUUCGCUGACGAGUGGCGGACGGGUGAGUAAUGUCUGGGAAACUGCCUGAUGGAGGGGGAUAACUACUGGAAACGGUAGCUAAUACCGCAUAACGUCGCAAGACCAAAGAGGGGGACCUUCGGGCCUCUUGCCAUCGGAUGUGCCCAGAUGGGAUUAGCUUGUUGGUGGGGUAACGGCUCACCAAGGCGACGAUCCCUAGCUGGUCUGAGAGGAUGACCAGCCACACUGGAACUGAGACACGGUCCAGACUCCUACGGGAGGCAGCAGUGGGGAAUAUUGCACAAUGGGCGCAAGCCUGAUGCAGCCAUGCCGCGUGUAUGAAGAAGGCCUUCGGGUUGUAAAGUACUUUCAGCGGGGAGGAAGGGAGUGAAGUUAAUACCUUUGCUCAUUGACGUUACCCGCAGAAGAAGCACCGGCUAACUCCGUGCCAGCAGCCGCGGUAAUACGGAGGGUGCAAGCGUUAAUCGGAAUUACUGGGCGUAAAGCGCACGCAGGCGGUUUGUUAAGUCAGAUGUGAAAUCCCCGGGCUCAACCUGGGAACUGCAUCUGAUACUGGCAAGCUUGAGUCUCGUAGAGGGGGGUAGAAUUCCAGGUGUAGCGGUGAAAUGCGUAGAGAUCUGGAGGAAUACCGGUGGCGAAGGCGGCCCCCUGGACGAAGACUGACGCUCAGGUGCGAAAGCGUGGGGAGCAAACAGGAUUAGAUACCCUGGUAGUCCACGCCGUAAACGAUGUCGACUUGGAGGUUGUGCCCUUGAGGCGUGGCUUCCGGAGCUAACGCGUUAAGUCGACCGCCUGGGGAGUACGGCCGCAAGGUUAAAACUCAAAUGAAUUGACGGGGGCCCGCACAAGCGGUGGAGCAUGUGGUUUAAUUCGAUGCAACGCGAAGAACCUUACCUGGUCUUGACAUCCACGGAAGUUUUCAGAGAUGAGAAUGUGCCUUCGGGAACCGUGAGACAGGUGCUGCAUGGCUGUCGUCAGCUCGUGUUGUGAAAUGUUGGGUUAAGUCCCGCAACGAGCGCAACCCUUAUCCUUUGUUGCCAGCGGUCCGGCCGGGAACUCAAAGGAGACUGCCAGUGAUAAACUGGAGGAAGGUGGGGAUGACGUCAAGUCAUCAUGGCCCUUACGACCAGGGCUACACACGUGCUACAAUGGCGCAUACAAAGAGAAGCGACCUCGCGAGAGCAAGCGGACCUCAUAAAGUGCGUCGUAGUCCGGAUUGGAGUCUGCAACUCGACUCCAUGAAGUCGGAAUCGCUAGUAAUCGUGGAUCAGAAUGCCACGGUGAAUACGUUCCCGGGCCUUGUACACACCGCCCGUCACACCAUGGGAGUGGGUUGCAAAAGAAGUAGGUAGCUUAACCUUCGGGAGGGCGCUUACCACUUUGUGAUUCAUGACUGGGGUGAAGUCGUAACAAGGUAACCGUAGGGGAACCUGCGGUUGGAUCACCUCCUUA
rnacentral:rRNA from 1 species